GAAAGUAAAUAAGGGCGCAUGGCGGAUGCCUUGGCUCUCGGAGGCGAUGAAGGACGUGAUAAGCUGCGAUAAGCUUCGGGUAGGUGCAAAUAACCUUUGAUCCGAAGAUUUCCGAAUGGGACAACCCGUCAUUCUGAAGGAAUGACAUCUUGCAUAGCAAGAGGCUAACGCAGGGAACUGAAACAUCUUAGUACCUGCAGGAAAAGAAAAUAAUAAUGAUUCCCCAAGUAGUGGCGAGCGAACGGGGAUUAGCCCAAACCAAUGUUGUUACGGCAAUAUUGGGGUUGUAGGACCACGAUGUCGCAAGAACUUUAGUGAGAAGAAUUCUUUGGAAAAUGAAACCAUAGACGGUGAUAGUCCGGUAUUCGAAGCUAAACGAAGCGUAGUGGUAUCCUGAGUAGCGCGGGACACGAGGAAUCUUGCGUGAAUCUGCCGGGACCAUCCGGUAAGGCUAAAUACUCCCGAGAGACCGAUAGCGAACCAGUACCGUGAGGGAAAGGUGAAAAGCACUUCGAACAGAAGAGUGAAAUAGUUCCUGAAACCGUGCGCCUACAAGCGGUCGGAGCUCGUUAAUGAGUGACGGCGUGCCUUUUGCAUAAUGAACCUACGAGUUGCCUUUGCCGGCAAGGUUAAGUGUGACGACACACGUAUCCGAAGCGAAAGCGAGUCUGAACAGGGCGUAUAGUCGGCAGUGGCAGACGCGAAACCAAGUGAUCUACCCUUGGCCAGGUUGAAGGCUGGGUAACACCAGCUGGAGGACCGCACCAAUAAGCGUUGAAAAGCUUCUGGAUGAGCUGAGGGUAGGGGUGAAAGGCUAAUCAAACUUGGAGAUAGCUCGUACUCCCCGAAAUGCAUUUAGGUGCAGCCUUGGGAAUUACUACUGUGAGGUAGAGCGACUGAUAAGAUGCGAGGGCUUCACCGCCUAUCAAGUCUUGAUAAACUCCGAAUGCGCAGUAGUUCGAUCCCAGGAGUGAGGGCAUGGGUGCUAAGGUCCAUGUCCUAAAGGAGAAGAAUCCGGACCAUCAGCUAAGGUCCCGAAAUAAUUGCUAAGUUGAACUAACGAAGUCAGAUUGCUAAGACAGCUAGGAUGUUGGCUUGGAAGCAGCCAUUCAUUUAAAGAGUGCGUAACAGCUCACUAGUCGAGGAGUUUGGCGUGGAUAAUAAUCGGGCAUUAAGCAAUUUACCGAAGCUAUGGGAUCAGUAAUGAUCGGUAGGGGAGCAUUCCACUCUGCGUCGAAGGUGAAGCGUGAGCUUUGCUGGAGCGUGUGGAAAAGCAAAUGUAGGUAUAAGUAACGAUAAAGGGGGUGAGAAACCCCCUCGCCGAAAGACUAAGGUUUCCUGAUCAACGCUAAUCGGAUCAGGGUCAGUCGGGUCCUAAGGCUCAGCCGAACGGCGAUGCCGAUGGCAGAAACGGUUAAUAUUCCGUUACUACCUUCAGGAGUGACGUGGAGACGCAGUAGUGACAGUGCCGCCAUCUGACGGAAUAGAUGGUUGAAGGGUGUAGGAGUCGAUCAUGGCAGGCAAAUCCACCAUGAGAUCCGAACCUGAUAGUAUGCCGCGUCCUUCGGGACAAGGCAAUAGUGCGCGUAAGCAUGCUGCCGAGAAAAUCCGCUAAACUUAAUCCUGUAGGUACCCGUACCGCAAACGGACACACGUAGUCGGGAUGAAUAUUCUAAGGCGCUUGAGUGAUUCACGGUUAAGGAACUAGGCAAACUGACCCUGUAACUUCGGGAUAAAGGGUCCCUACCCGGUGACGGGAGGGCGCAGAGAAUAGGUCCAGGCAACUGUUUAACAAAAACACAGGGCUGUGCUAAAUCGAAAGAUCCUGUAUACAGCCUGACACCUGCCCGGUGCUGGAAGGUUAAGAGGAGACGUCAUCGUUGAGAGAAGCGUUGAAUUGAAGCCCCAGUAAACGGCGGCCGUAACUAUAACGGUCCUAAGGUAGCGAAAUUCCUUGUCGGGUAAGUUCCGACCUGCACGAAUGGUGUAAUGAUCUGGACACUGUCUCAACCGUGAGCUCAGUGAAAUUGUAGUAUCGGUGAAGAUGCCGAUUACCCGCGAUGGGACGAAAAGACCCCGUGAACCUUUACUAUAGCUUAUCAUUGAAUCUGGGCACGUGAUGUGUAGGAUAGGUCGGAGGCUUUGAAGCAGGUACGCCAGUAUUUGUGGAGCCGCUGUUGAAAUACGACCCUUUAUUUGUUUGGAUUCUAACCCGUGGAACGGGGACAUUGAUUGGUGGGUAGUUUGACUGGGGUGGUCGCCUCCAAAAGCGUAACGGAGGCUUCUA
rnacentral:rRNA from 1 species